AUAAUUUGAAUUAUGGGAGCAGUUUCUCUCAUACUAUUCUCAUGGUAGUGAAUAAGUCUCAUGAGAUCUGAUGGUUUUAUCAGGGCUUUCUGCUUUUGCAUAUUCCUCAUUUUCUCUUGCUAUCACCAUGUGAGAAGUGCCUUUCGCCUCCCGCUGUGAUUUUGGCCUCCCCAGCCAUGUGGAACUGAAAUUAUGGAACUGUGGAUGUGACAGAGCCAUUGCUGAAAAAUAUGUUUGUUGGCAGGCUCAUAAGCAGAAGGGACUCACCUUAUCUCAGAUAAGACGCUGGACUUGGACUUUUGUUAAUGCUGGAAUGAGUUAAGCCUUUGGGUUACUGUUGAGAAGGGAUAAUUGUAUUUUAAAAUGUGAGAAGGACAUGAGAUUUGGGAGGGGUCGGGGCAAAAUGAUAUUGUUUGUUUCUGUGUCCCCAACCAAAUCUCAUGUUGAAUUGUAAUCCCCAUGUGUCAGGGCUGGGACCUGGAGGGAGGAGAUCAGAUCAUGGGAGCAGAUUCCCCCAUGCUGCUCUUGUGAUAGUGAGUGAGUUUUCACAAGUUCUGAUGAUUUAAAAAUGUGGCACUUCCCCCGCUCUCUUCUGCUGCCUUGUGAAGAAGGUGCUUGCUUCUCCUUCACCUUCUGUCAUGAUUGUAAGUUUCCUGAGGCCACCCUAGCCAAGCAGAAAUGUGAGUCAAUUAAAUAUAUUUUCGUUAUAAAUUACCCAUUCUCAGAUAGUUCUUUAUAGCAGUGUGAAAACAGACUAAUGCAAUCAUUAUCAAGUAUUCUGUACUGUAUGUAAUUGAAUGUGACAUCACUUUUGUACAACUGGCAAUACAAUAAGCUUGAUUUCACUAACAUCACCACAAAAAUGUGAGUUUUUCAUUGUAUUGUGAUGUUACAAUGUCUACGAUGUCACUAGGCUAUAAGGACAUUUUAGGUCCAUUGAAAUCUUAUGGGGCCACCAUCGUAUAUGUGUUCAAUCACUAAUUGAACGUUUUUAUAUGGCAUAUGACUGUAUAGGUCAAACAUUAUCAAAUUGUAUACCUUAAAUAUGUGUAGUUUAUUGUAUUUCAAUUUUAUCUCAAUAAAACCACUUUAAAAUAUCCAUACUGUAAGGACUCAUCACCCCAUAACAAAACAAUGUUUCAAGAAUUAUGUAGAACAGUUUAUUUUUAAAAACCCACCAUCAUACAGAAAAAAAGAAAUCCAUACAGUAUAAAAAGAGUCUUCUCUCUUGAUCAUACUUAUGGCCAAGUUAUCAUCAGUUGUUUUUAUGGGGUACAUUUUUGUCUAAGUGUGCCACAUAUUAUGCUUACACAAAGAUAUCUGGUUUGUGGGACAACUCAUCUGUCCAUUUAUAGUUCUUAAUAAUCAUCUGCACUGUAACAAAAAGUAAUCCUAGUAAUGCUUAGUACAUUUCUCUUAAUAGUGAACAAAUGUCAACAAAAUUUACAUUCAAGGUAAUAUUGCUCCUUUGUCCUAUGGAAUAUGUACUGAGAAAAAAUAUGGAUUUCCAGCUAUCACCCUAUAUAAAUGAAAAGUUGUAGGCUCAUAAGUUAUUCAAAUUUCAAUUAUUCCCCCAUAAAAUAAAUGACUAGUCAUAAACAAAUUCAAAUAUUUAGCUCAAAUUUUUUGAUUACAUUAAUUUAUAUAAUAAAACACACCAAUUAAAAAUGAUUUUGGACAACAAAACUCGAGAUAGUCUUAAGCUAAAUAACAGAUUACAUUACUUUAUAUACAGCAUCUUCUUAUUUUUGUGAAUUUAUAUAUGUCAAAAUGAUGCACAGAUUAUUAUUCUGUAUCUAAUUAUGUAGUCUAAAUAUUUUAAAAUUUGGCUAAAAUACAGGAAAAAGUGACCAGUUUCUCAUAAAUGUGUUUAAUGUGUACUUCCUAAUAGCCUUGGUUUCUUAUAUUAUCAAAGCUCUUAUACAUCGACAAGUAGAUAAAUGUAGAACCCAGUAUACACUUAUAACAUGACUGCAGAGGGCCUAGAAAGUUGUCUCCUAUACUAAAAAUCAUGAAACAUAAUAAUAACAGCAACAGCAGUGGCAAAAACAUAUUGCUAUCUCCACAUCACCAACCUUCUAUCCACUAUGAAUUGUUCAUGUAACUUGAUUCUAUAGCAUUUACUUCUAUCAACAAGUAAUUAACAAAGAGGAAAAUUUUUCUCAUUUUAAAAUAAAAAUAAUUUUCAGAAGAGUUACAUGUCAUUAAAACAAUUGUAUAAUAUAGUUUAUCCAAUUACACUUAUUGAAACAUUUAGUGGGUACUCACUCUAUGCAUGCCACUAUGCUGGGGCCAGAGAUACGAGGAUAAAUAUGUUGCAUUUUUUGCCCUUAAAGUUAUUAUGAUCUUCUAUAGGAAAUAGAGAAAAAUUGAUCAAUUAUUAUAUACAGCAGCAGUCUCCAACCUUUUUGUCAUCAGGGACCAGUUUGUAGAAGAUAAUUUUUCCAUGGACCAAGGCAUAGAUGGUUUGGGGAUAAAACAGUGCCACCUCAGAUCAUCAGGCAUUAGAUUCUCAUAAGGAGUGUGCAACCUAGAUCCCGCACAUCUGUGGUUCACAAUAGUGUUGUUAGAGCUCCUAUGAGAAUCUAAUGCAGCUACUGAUCUGACAGGAGGCGGAGCUUAGGCGGUAAUGCUGUCUAACCCACUGCUCACCUCCCACUGUGUGGCCCAGUCACCAACUGGUACCAGGGGUUUAGGGACCCCUGAUAUAUGGCGUUUGCAAGUAGUAUAAAAAUACACAUGAUAGCCCUUUACCCAAGAUAGUGUGCUAGUGUGUGUGUGUGUGUGAGUGUGUGUGUGUAUGUGUGUGUGUGUGAGAGAGAGGAUAGAAUUAGAAAUGAGAACAGGUUCAGGGGAGGCCUCUUCAAGAAUAAGUGAGAUUGCUCUUGAAAUAAAUUUUGAAGGAUAACUAAGAGUUGAUGAAGCAAAGGAAGGUAGGCCAGUAUUCACAUGCUAGGAAACAACCCAUUUAGAGGCUCAAGGAAAGCUUGCACAUUCAGGAGCCUGCAAAUUGUUGACUAUGACUAGAAUGUAGAGUGUAAAGAAGAAAGUGGCAGUAGAGAGAAAUAAAGGUGAGAUGCAGAGAAUUAAAAUCAUCAUGACCUUGUAUUGUGUGUUAAAAAGUUAAGACAUCAUCCUGAUCAUAUUUUUUCCCUCUAAUAAUUUUAGCUAAGAGUAGUCAUUACGAAAAAGAAGACUUUUAUGACUUUUAUGGGGAGAAUGAGGACAGCACUAACAUUUAUUGAAGACCUGUUUUGUCUGAUGGUUAGGAAGAGUCUGACUCCAUGUUUUAUAUUUGACUGCACAGCAUUUAGGCUCCUACCCUGCCCUGCCCAAACACUAUAUAUCUGGUACUAUAGACAAAUAAACCUGCAUGCCUUUUGAGAUUUUGGGUCCUGUGGAAAUUUGAACUUCACAGCCCCAGACUGAAUGUGAGAACUCCUCUCCAGCCCCACUCUCUCGCCAUUACAAAAGUCAAACCAACUCUCUGCUCAUUGUUCUUGCCGUUCUAGCCAGAUCAGCUUGCAGUUACCUUGCUCUAUGUACAAUUUCCUGAUGUGAAUAAUAAACUCCUUGCAAAUUAUCAAGGUGUGUGAAGUGUCGUCAGUCUGGAUAUGUGGCCUAUUAACUG
rnacentral:lncRNA from 1 species